GGUAUUGCUCUCGGGACAGGAAUAAUAACUAUCGCACACGGUCGGAGGUUUUAUAGGAGAUGGUGGAGACGGUCCGGGAUUGGGGGGAUUUUCACCUGUUUUGAUCGGAUAAGAGGCUUCCAUCGCGAUCCCACAUUUGCCAGUUACGGUAUUGGCCACAUUCCUUGCCAUCCUGAUAUAGCCUGCUUCUCCCCAGCUGCUUCCCCAUGAGUUCUUUACAAUCCAAUAGUCUUUACCUUUCUCUGUGCCAUAUCCAACAGCAGUGACACCGUGGUCUAGUUGUGUUCCACAUUUUCCAUCAAAUAUACCCUGGAAAAAACCGUAAAAAUGUCAUUUAUCGGACAGUGCUCGGACUUUGAUAAUCCAGUUGUGGUCUUGCAGCAACUAGUAAUUUUGAUGGAUGCAGAAUCUUACUGAUUGAUAUAACUGGAAACUCCUUCCUCCUGCCUCAAUGGCAACGCUCACCGGUUGAUUCGCGACUGCCUUUUUCAAUGCUUUCUCGUCAUUUACCGGAACAUCCUCAUAAUCAUUGAUCGAAACAACUUUAGCAUUUUUCUGCAAGGUGAUUAAAAACACCAAGAUUCAGCAAGGAAAUUGAAAUUCUAUCUUUGUUCCUUUCCCAACUCUAAAAAUAAGAAACCUACCCGGUAUGGGUCACAUGUACCGUCAUGAGCGGUGUAAGGGUAAUCUUCUUCGGUGUCAAUGCCACCAUUUUUGAUGAUGAAUUCAAAGGCAUAAUCCAUGAGACCCCCAUUGCAACCUUCAUUGUAAGAUGUAUCACAAUCCACCAACUCCUGCUCAGAUAGUGAAAGGAGUUCGCCUGUAACAAUCUGGUUUAUCCCUUCCACAGCAGCAAUAGUCGAGAAAGCCCAGC
rnacentral:lncRNA from 1 species